CGGCGAGUGAAGCGGCAAAAGCUCAAAUUUGAAAUCUGCGUAAGCCGAGUUGUAAUUUGAAGAUGGCUACUUUGGUAAUGGCUCUUGUCUAUGUUCCUUGGAACAGGACGUCACAGAGGGUGAGAAUCCCGUGCGAUGAGAUGUCCAUUACCGUGUAAAGUGCUUUCGAAGAGUCGAGUUGUUUGGGAAUGCAGCUCUAAGUGGGUGGUAAAUUCCAUCUAAAGCUAAAUAUUGGCGAGAGACCGAUAGCGAACAAGUACAGUGAUGGAAAGAUGAAAAGAACUUUGAAAAGAGAGUGAAAAAGUACGUGAAAUUGUUGAAAGGGAAGGGCUUGAGAUCAGACUUGGUAUUUUGUAUGGCUUGCUUUCGGGCGGGUCCUCUGCAGUUUACUGGGCCAGCAUCGGUUUGGGUGGCAGGAUAAUAGCAUAGGAAUGUGGCUCUACUUCGGUGGAGUGUUAUAGCCUUUGUUGAUACUGCCUGC
rnacentral:rRNA from 1 species